CAGAAACGGGGUUUCACCAUGUUAGCCAAGAUGGUCUCGAUCUCCUGACCUCGCGAUCCGCCCGCCUUGGCCUCCCAAAGUGCUGGGAUUAUGCAUUCUCUCUUUACAUCACAAUGACCAUGACCUUGGAUAUGGAGUCCACUCAAAAGUAAUCUGAACUAAUAAACAAAUUCUGCAAGGUUGAAGAAUACAAGGAGAUAUGGAAUCACCAAAGAAUACUGACACAGAAGAACCAAGUAGGAGAGUGUGCAAUUCCCAGUCUCAUAUCUCAUUACAAAACCAAACUAAACAAGGCAUUGGCACAAGAAUAGACAUACAGAUCAAUGGAACAGAACUGAGACCCCAGAAAUAAAACCAAGUGGUCAGCUGACUUUUUGAAAGCUUGCCAAGACCAUCAAAUGGGGAAAAAUUUUUUUAAUAUACGUUGCAGGGAUAAUUGGAUAUAAACAUCCAAAAGAAUGAACUUGGAUGCUUAUCUUGCACCAUAUGCAAAAAUAACUGAAAAUGAAUUCAAGGCUAUAACUAUUAACUCAGAAAAAAAAAAUGAGCUGCAUUUUCAUGAUCCUAGGUUUGGCAAAAUACUCUUAAGUAUAACUCCAAAAAAAAACCCACCAAAAAACCUAGAUAAGUUAAAUUUCAUCAAAAUUAAACAUUUUGGGCAUCAAAGGGCAUCAUUAAUAAAAUGAAUAGACUUACUACAGAUUGUGAGAAAAUGCUUGCAUAUCAUACGUCUGGUAAGCAAAUUGUUUCUAGAGUAAUAUAUUAAAAAACUCUUACAACUCAAUAAGAAGAAGACAAAUAACACAAACUAAAAACUGGCAAAGGAUCUGAAUAGAUCUUUCUCCCAGCAAGAUCUACAAAUAGCUGAUAAUCACAUGAAGAGGUGCCUGGCAUCAUUAGUCAUCAGGAAAAUGCAAAUCAAAAAACCACAGCUAGGUACUACGUCACACCCACUAGGAUGGCCAGAACCCAAAUGACAGAUAGUAGGUAUCAGAAAAGAUAUGGAGAAAGUGGAACCCUUAUACACUGUUGGCAGAAUUUGAAAUGAUACAUCCACCUUGUAAAACAGUUUGGACAUUCCUCAAAGGAUUAAACAUAGAGUUACCAUAUGAUCCAAAAACCCUACUCUUUGAUACAUACACAAGAAGAAUGGAAACGUAUAUUCACACAAAAGCUGAAACAUGAAUGUUUAUAGCAGCAUUAUUUAUAUAGCCAAAAGAUAGAAACGACCUAAUUCCUGCCUGCGGUUGAUGCUGAUAAACAAAAUGUCCUAAAUGUCCCCAACUGCAGUGAUGGUUGCAUAGUUCAUGAAUAUACCAAAAUCAAUUGACUUGUUAACUUUCUAGUAUGUGAGUCAUAUUUUAAUGAACUGUUAAGAAAAUUUAAAAACAUAAUGAGUAGGAGAGACCUUCAUGUUAAGAAGA
rnacentral:lncRNA from 1 species